AUUUGUUUACAGGUAUUUUAACUCGGUCAUGUUGAAUUAUAGAAGUAUUUGUUGAUCCCGGAUACGAAGACAAUGGACGAAAGCGAUAAUGAUUCUGAAAUAUCCAUAAGUAAGAAGCGCAGAAUUAGUCCACCCGAUACAGGUCAAAAUGGCAAGGAUUGUAAAAAAGCAUGCAACGAAACUGGACCGCAUUGUUCUACCUCAAUGGAAGAGUCAACUUUUAAAUCCCCGAAAGUUACUGAAGGUAAUUAAUGUGUUACGUCUCUGUUUUUGUCAAUACUUCUACUGUUUAAGGUGUACCAAGUAGAAAAGUAAUAAUUUAUGUGAAGCAGUAUUGGCUACAAUUUUGACAGUAUGAGGUGCAAAAUUACCUUUAAACAUCUACAAGAACGGAAAAUUGAAUGAUGCAUCCUUAUGUUCAGCCAGAUUAGUUCAUUUUCACUG